AUCAUUAUUGAAAUAAACCUGAUGGGUUGCUGCUGACUCUCUCGGGAGCAUGUGCACACUUGUCAUCUUUAUAUCUCCACCUGUGCACCUUUUGUAGAUCUGGAUAUCUUUCUGAAUGCCUGCAUUCAGGUUUGAGGAUUGACUUGUCUUUCCUUACAUUUCCAGGCCUAUGUUUCUUCAUAUACACCAUGUAUGUUAUAGAAUGUAAUGAAAAGGGCCUUUGUGCCUACAAACUUAUACAACUUUCAGCAACGGAUCUCUUGGCUCUCGCAUCGAUGAAGAACGCAGCGAAAUGCGAUAAGUAAUGUGAAUUGCAGAAUUCAGUGAAUCAUCGAAUCUUUGAACGCACCUUGCGCUCCUUGGUAUUCCGAGGAGCAUGCCUGUUUGAGUGUCAUUAAUAUAUCAACCUCCUCAGGUUUUUACUUGUCGAGUGUUUGGAUGUGGGGGGUUUUUUUUGCUGGUCUCUCUUGAGAUCGGCUCCCCUGAAAUGCAUUAGCGGAACAAUUUGUUGACCCGUUCAUUGGUGUGAUAACUAUCUACGCUAUUGACGUGAAGCAGGUUCAGCUUCUAACAGUCCAUUAACUUGGACAAAUUUUCAUUAAUGUGACCUCAAAUCAGGUAGGACUACCCGCUGAACUUAAGCAUAUCAAUAAGCGGAGGAAAAGAAACUAACAAGGAUUCCCCUAGUAACUGCGAGUGAAGCGGGAAAAGCACAAAUUAAAAUCUGGCAGUCUUGGCUGUCCGAGUGUAAUCUA
rnacentral:rRNA from 1 species